GGAAGGGAGGAAGCGUAGAAGGUGCCGAUGCACUUUUCCUCUCUCCAGACUUCCUGACUGCUCCAAGAAUUUCAUCGAACAAGACUCAAAGAGGCCCAGCUGCUCUGCGUUUUGAUUCUUCUCCCUCUCUCAGUCCACACUGACCUGGGAGGGGCUUCUCAAACACCACAUUUCCUAGCAUGCUGUGAGAAGAGGACUGUGAGCUAAAAAGGGAGAAAAGCCAAAUAAAAACACAGACAAACCAACCAACCAAGCACUGACGAGCCAGUAAAGAGGGAACUGUGGAGGAAUCAGGGCUGAGAGAAUCUCUGAUACAGCAGCGGAAAUAGGCACUCCCUUCCUCAUCAACAAACACCUGACCUGGGUAGACCCUCUGCUUACCAAGAUCCAGUCCACCUUUUGACAUCAGCAUUCAUGCUGCCUCUUUUUACGAACCAAGCCAAAGUGGUCCCUUCCUCUGGAAAUUAUAGGGUACUUAAUGUACCUCAUAUCCAGGUGGGUGGUUCUCCACUGGCUACAAACAUCCAGAUUUGACUGUCUGACCCAGCCCCCUUUCCAGCCUCCAGUCCUACCACGGCGCCUGACACCGGCCACAUUAAACUCCUGGAGCAACCAGAACUCAAGGCCCUUUUU
rnacentral:antisense_RNA from 1 species